GACGAACGCUGGCGGCGCGCUUAACACAUGCAAGUCGAGCGAUGAAAUCUUAACAGAACCCUUCGGGGCGAAGAUAAGACGGAUUAGCGGCGGACGGGUGAGUAACACGUGAGUAACCUGCCUUUUACACAGGGAUAGCCUCGGGAAACCGGGAUUAAAACCUGAUGAAACUAUCAAAUCACAUGAUUAAGAAAGUUAAAACUCCGGUGGUAAAAGAUGGACUCGCGUCCCAUUAGCUAGUUGGUGAAGGUAACGGCCCACCAAGGCAACGAUGGGUAGCCGGCCUGAGAGGGUGAACGGCCACUUUGGAACUGAGAAACGGUCCAAACUCCUACGGGAGGCAGCAGUGGGGAAUAUUGCACAAUGGGGGAAACCCUGAUGCAGCGACGCCGCGUGAGCGAAGAAGGCCUUCGGGUCGUAAAGCUCUUUUAUAUGGGAAGGAUAAUGACGGUACCAUAAGAAAAAGCCCCGGGCUAACUACGUGCCAGCAGCCGCGGGUAAUACAUAGGGGGCUAGCGUUGUCCGGAAUCACUGGGCGUAAAGGGUUCGCAGGCGGUAAUGCUAGUCAGAUGUAAAAGGCAAAGGCUCAACCCUUUGUAAGCAUCUUGAAACUGUAUAGCUUGAGAAGGUGUAGAGGCCAAGUGGGAAUUUUUUAUUGGUAGCGGGUAAAAUGCCGUAAAUAUUAAAAAAAGAAACACUGGGUGGGCUAUAGGCGACUUUGCUUGGGCAUCAAUCUGGACGCUUAAAGAAACGAAAAGCGGCGUGGAACCAAAUCGGGAUUAGAAUACCCCUGGUAAGUCCAAAGGGGGGAAUUUUCAUCGGUGAAUUUUCAGUCUAAUCGAUAUCUGCCCACCCUCGAGCGGUGGCGCUCAGCUUUCACGUCAUUGUUGUAUUCUAUUUU
rnacentral:rRNA from 1 species